GUUGCCAAAUCGCGUCAGGUCUGUAUGGGCCUUGAGGCUGCCCAAUUAAUUAAUUAAGUGGAAACAAUAUGACAAAUUUCAAUAUGGCGGAGUGCAGAGGGCGGAGCGUAACAAUCUAACAAUAUGGAGGACUGACUAAUCUGUAAAAAUGAUGCAUGUUUAGAAUAUGCAAAAAGAAAAAAUGUGACAUAAACAUGCUUAUAAUUACAACUGCGUGCUAUGUUAUUUGAAUAAGUUUUUAGUAGGCAUGAUGUAGG